UCCUGCUGAGCAGGGAGCCUGAUGUGGGGCUUGAUCCCAGGACCCCGGGGUCAUGACCUGAGUCAAAGGCAGACACUUAACCAACUGAGCCACCCAGCUGCCCCUCAAGUUAUUUUUUCUACCAGUUAUGAAUGUUUUGUAUUUCUCCUGGACAAUACCUACUUGUAAUAUCAGCAUCUGAACAUGUAAUGGUAAAUAGCAACAUCAAAUGUUCGUUCCUAUGAGUAACUAAACAAGGCCCUAGGAAUGGCACCAGCUAGACAUGCUAUACUCUUGGGUCUUAGUCAUUUAUUUGACAGAUCACAAGUAGGCAGAGAGGCAGGCAGAGAGAGAGGGGGAAGCAGGCUCCCCGCUGAGCAGAGAUCGUGGGGCUUGAUCCCAGGACCCUGAGAUCAUGACCUGAGCCUAAGGCAGAGGCUUAACCCACUGAGCCACCCAGGCGCCCCUGACACCGUGUUUUUUAAAACAGCCUCUGAACAUCCUUUGGAACAUAAAUGGAACAUUUCUGAACACAGAUUGCAGGGGUCAGCAAACUUUUCCUGUAACGGACCAGAUAGUAAAUCAUUUAGGUUUUAGUUCCCAUAAGGUUGGUUGGUCUCUCUCUUUUCUAAGAUUUUACUUAUUUAUUUGACAGAGACACAGCUUGAGAGGGAACACAAGCAGGGGAAGUGCGAGAGGGAGAAGCAGGCUUCCCGCUGAGCAUGGAGCCUGAUGAGGGUCUCCAUCCCAGGACCCUGACCUUCAACCUAACAACUGAGCUACCCAGGAGCCCCCAUAAAGUCUCUCUCACAACUACUCAACACCUCUUUUGUAAUGCAAAACCAGGCAUAGAAAAUAUGUAAACAAGGGGGCCUGACUGUUCAAAUAAAAUUAGACACUGCCAUAA